UUUUUCCCUGAAACAAAUUGUCUUCUUUCUGUUGCAGACAGCGAUUUCUUUCUUCUUCAUCUUCAUCUUCUUCACGGUUCUUCUCUUCUUCUUCUUAAUCGCUUUCACAUGGCUGCUUCUAGUUCCAAAAACAUUGGAGAAAGAGACUAGAGCUCCCAAGGAUGAUUCGUUUUGAAUCCGUUGAAUUGUUAAUUUUUUUGUUCAUCAAUUCAAUCUUGCCGUAGAGUGAAUUAUGAUAUUUUAGGGGUUUAUUAGGGUUUCAAUCCUCAUGGAGUCGCGCCGUAAUCAAUUUGUUCAAUUCGAUGAUUUUCGUCGGAUGGAUGAAGUUGGUGCUGCUUCGAUCGAUCUCGUUCGAUUCAUCUUAAGAUUCUUAGCAUCGUUUUCGUUCUAAGCGAUUGAUCAUGAAGCGAUGGAUCAUGAUACGAUCAGCAAUAAGCUUCAGAAAGUUUUGUUUUCCAUGGAAACGGCCUUUAUGGGAAAAAGAUGAAAAUAUUGAUUGCGCCUUAGAGGGUUUGCAGAAGUAUGUCAAGGAAUAACUAUUAUCAGGGCUAUCCCACCUUCUAACGAGGUUGUCGACAAGAUACACAACUGCUUUGAAUGUGCUUGACGCCUUGGCAUUUGGAUAUAACUUUGGUGUUUCAUGAUGAUGGUCAUUUGUUGCAUGCAGAGAACGAAAUUACUGAAAUCAACUCCUUCUAAACUCCUCUCGACAAGCUGUUGCACGCUCAUUAGCAACCUGAUGCAUCAAAGUAGAUGAACCGUAGUCUGGCUGGAGCAGAUGUGUUCUUUCCCUUCCUCAUAUAUGUAACAAUCAAGGCAAAUCCUCUUCACUUGCUUUACAACCUCAAGUUCGUCCGGCUAUACUGGAGGAAGGCCAAAAUUGUCUCUGAGGGUGUUUGUCAUUUGACAAACUUUAGCCAAGACAUUUAUUAAUGGAACUCUUGAAGAAACUGCGCAAGAGAAAGAUCAUUUCAGAGAAGCAAGUCCAGCUUGAUUGUAAAGUUUUGCAGCGCUGAGUAAGAAGGUUGAAUAUGGCAUCAAUGACAUGCAAUGACAUGCUUUUAAUAAUUGGAGUCUUAUUUUUGAGCUUCUUAUGUGCUCACAACAGAUCUGGGCAAACCCAUGAAGGCAGAGGAAUGUGGGAGAUUUAAGAGUAAAGUGCAGAUAUGAAGCAAGUAAAAAAAGAGGAAAGGUCAGAAACAGUAGCAUUCAAUGGCAAAACCAACAGUUCAGGUGGAGGGGCUGGGCAUUCUUUGGACUCAUCGGAAAGCUCAACACAGCACCAGAG